rnacentral:rRNA from 1 species
AGCGAACGCUGGCGGCAGGCCUAACACAUGCAAGUCGAACGGAUCCUUCGGGAUUAGUGCGGACGGGUGAGUAACACGUGGGAACGUGCCCUUUGGUUCGGAACAACUCAGGGAAACUUGAGCUAAUACCGGAUGUGCCCUUCGGGGGAAAGAUUUAUCGCCAUUGGAGCGGCCCGCGUCUGAUUAGCUAGUUGGUGAGGUAACGGCCCACCAAGGCGACGAUCAGUAGCUGGUCUGAGAGGAUGAUCAGCCACACUGGGACUGAGACACGGCCCAGACUCCUACGGGAGGCAGCAGUGGGGAAUCUUGCGCAAUGGGCGAAAGCCUGACGCAGCCAUGCCGCGUGAAUGAUGAAGGUCUUAGGAUUGUAAAAUUCUUUCAGCGGGGACGAUAAUGACGGUACCCGCAGAAGAAGCUCCGGCUAACUUCGUG